UACGGGGGGGGCAAGCGUUGUUCGGAAUUACUGGGCGUAAAGGGUUCGUAGGUGGCCACUUAAGUCAGACGUGAAAUCCCUCAGCUUAACUGGGGAACUGCGUCUGAUACUGAGUGGCUUGAGUGCAGGAGAGGAAUGCGGAAUUCCAGGUGUAGCGGUGAAAUGCGUAGAUAUCUGGAGGAACACCGGUGGCGAAGGCGGCAUUCUGGACUGUAACUGAUACUGAGGAACGAAAGCCAGGGGAGCAAACGGG
rnacentral:rRNA from 1 species